CCAGACUCCUACGGGAGGCAGCAGUGGGGAAUAUUGGGCAAUGGGCGCAAGCCUGACCCAGCAACGCCGCGUGAAGGAAGAAGGCUUUCGGGUUGUAAACUUCUUUUGUCAGGGACGAAGCAAGUGACGGUACCUGACGAAUAAGCCACGGCUAACUACGUGCCAGCAGCCGCGGUAAUACGUAGGUGGCAAGCGUUAUCCGGAUUUAUUGGGUGUAAAGGGCGUGUAGGCGGGAAUGCAAGUCAGAUGUGAAAACUAUGGGCUCAACCCAUAGCCUGCAUUUGAAACUGUAUUUCUUGAGUGCUGGAGAGGCAAUCGGAAUUCCGUGUGUAGCGGUGAAGUGCGUAGAUAUACGGAGGAACACCAGUGGCGAAGGCGGCCUGCUGGACAUUAACUGACGCUGAGGCGCGAAAGCGUGGGGAGCAAACAGGAUUAGAUACCCCUGUA
rnacentral:rRNA from 1 species